rnacentral:rRNA from 1 species
UACAGAGGGUGCAAGCGUUAAUCGGAAUUACUGGGCGUAAAGCGUGCGUAGACGGUUAUUUAAGUCAGGUGUGAAAGCCCAGGGCUCAACCUUGGAAUUGCAUUUGAGACUGAAUAGCUAGGGUGCGGAAGAGGGAAGCGGAAUUUCCGGUGUAGCGGUGAAAUGACGUAGAUAUCGGAAGGAACACCAGUGGCGAAAGCGGCUUCCUGGUCCAGCACCGACGUUCAGGCACGAAGCGUGGGGAGCAAACAGG